rnacentral:rRNA from 1 species
UGAUAGGUCAUCUCAUCUGGAAGGAGAGAUGGCUUAAAGGGGUACGCGGGCUUCUUCCGCGAAUCUGCUCCAGGAUGGGACUGCGUCCGAUCAGGCUGUUGGCGGGGUAAUGGCCCACCAAACCUGUAACCGGUACGGGCCUUGAGAGAGGUGGCCCGGAGAUGGACACUGAGAGAAGGGUCCAGGUCCUACGGGGCGCAGCAGGCGCGAAACCUUCGCAAUGCGCGAAAGCGUGACGAGGUUAAUCCGAGUGACUCCCGCUGAGGGGGUCUUUUGUCUGCUGUAAAUAGGCAGGCGAAUAAGGGGAGGGCAAGCCUGGUGUCAGCCGCCGCGGUAAUACCAGCUCCUCGAGUGGUCGGGGCGAUUAUUGGGCCUAAAGCAUCCGUAGCCGGUUCCGUAGGUCCUCUGUUAAAUCCAACCGCUUAACGGUUGACCUGCAGAGGAUACCGCGGGACUAGGAGGCGGGAGAGGCGGACGGUACUCCGCGUGUAGGGGUAAAUCCUUUGAUCCGCGGAAGACCACCAGUGGCGAAGGCGGUCCGCCAGAACCGCGCUCGACGGUGAGGGAUGAAGGCUGGGGGGAGCGAACCCGGAUUAGAUA